rnacentral:rRNA from 1 species
GCCUACGGGAGGCAGCAGUGAGGAAUAUUGGUCAAUGGGCGGGAGCCUGAACCAGCCAAGUCGCGUGAGGGAUGACGGUCCUACGGAUUGUAAACCUCUUUUGCCGGGGAGCAAGCGUGCGUUCGUGAACGCGCGUCGAGAGUACCCGGAGAAAAAGCAUCGGCUAACUCCGUGCCAGCAGCCGCGGUAAUACGGAGGAUGCGAGCGUUAUCCGGAUUUAUUGGGUUUAAAGGGUGCGCAGGCGGAAGAUCAAGUCAGCGGUAAAAUUGAGAGGCUCAACCUCUUCUAGCCGUUGAAACUGGUUU